UGGGGAAUAUUGGGCAAUGGGCGCAAGCCUGACCCAGCAACGCCGCGUGAAGGAAGAAGGCUUUCGGGUUGUAAACUUCUUUUGUCAGGGACGAGCAGAAGACGGUACCUGACGAAUAAGCCACGGCUAACUACGUGCCAGCAGCCGCGGUAAUACGUAGGUGGCAAGCGUUGUCCGGAUUUACUGGGUGUAAAGGGCGUGUAGCCGGGAGGGCAAGUCAGAUGUGAAAACUAUGGGCUCAACCCAUAGCCUGCAUUUGAAACUGUUGGUCUUGAGUGCUGGAGAGGCAAUCGGAAUUCCUAGUGUAGCGGUGAAAUGCGUAGAUAUUAGGAGGAACACCAGUGGCGAAGGCGGAUUGCUGGACAGUAACUGACGGUGAGGCGCGAAAGUGUGGGGAGCAAACAGGAUUAGAUACCCUGGUAGU
rnacentral:rRNA from 1 species